GUUGACUCGUCGUUCGAUUCGUCAGUUACUCCGUUAUGCUGCAUAUUUGGUCUCAUGACGCAGCUCAACUUCCUCAUAUUGAGCUUCUUGGAACUUCAAACACAGAGUGUCUCUACCGAGGUGGAAUAACACAUCUCUUCGGCUCAUUCGGAAUUAAGAUCCCCACCAUUGCUAAAUCAGCAUCCAAAUUCCGCACAAGACACAACUCCCUGAUGCACCUGGAGCACCCAAGGAACCCCACCGUCGAAAUUAACGUCUGAGUGCAAGUAUUAAAUACUGCUAAGGACCGGUGACGGAGCCGGAGAUUCCAGCGAAAGAUCCGACAAUGUCGUUCUCCGAAGGAGUGACCAGUUCGACGCUCGCUGGGAAUCUCUCCUCCCACAAUUCCACGGUCGAUGGAAACAGAAUGGAAUGGGGAGCAACUUCCGUCAUGACAAUGGUCAUCUUCAUUCUCACCUUCCUACUGGGGGUCCCGGGUAAUGGCGCAGUUAUCUGGGUGACGGGCUUCAAGAUGAAGAGUAAGGUCCACACGGUGUGUUUCCUGAACCUGGCUCUGGCUGACCUGAUCUAUUGCCUCACCCUUCCUUUCAGAAUGGCCAACAUCUCCCUGUUCUACUCUGGAUACAACGCCUACUUUUCCAUGAAGAUUAUUGGAACGUUGACGUUCCUCAACGCAUCCGCCAGCACUUAUCUGUUAUGUCUGAUCAGCAUCUGCCGCUGCCUGGCUAUUACUCGGCAUAGGUGGUUCCAGCAACAUCUGAGCCUCACGUGGAUACGUGUGGCCUGCUUCGGAGUCUGGAUCUUAGCCUUCGUCAUGUACCUGCCCGUCCUCCUGCUUCCGGAUUGGACGAAGGAGUUGACCGUCUUGGAGCCAUUUUGGAUUGUUUUCAUCUUCGUCCUCCCCCUUCUAAUUAUGAUCACCAGCUACUCCCUGGUUGGCUUCGGGCUGCAAGGGAACAGAAGUGGAUGAACUGCAAAAGCUUUAUGAAAAUCAAUCCAGGUCCAACGAAAAGCUAAGACAGAAGAUUGUCAACACAGAAAAUAGACGUAGAAGGAACAACUUAAGGGUUCUGGGUCUCAAAGAGUUAACCGAAAGUAAUCAUCCUAUCGAAUUCUUUGCAAACUUUCUACAAGAAUUAUUUCCGGAAAUGUUGACGUCUUUGCUUAUGAUUGAUCGAGUUCACAGGUAUCCCGUGUUUAGAACUCCUAACAGAGAUAGCCCAAGAUUAGCAAUAUUCGGUUUUCAUGAACUUAAAACAAAUGAACUGUUAAUACAGUUAAUUAAUACACGAAUCAAGUCGAAGAGGCACGAUUGGAAGAUUAGGUUUGUUGCAGAUUACCCAAAUGAGGUUAUGAGGUUAUGUCCGAGUUUUUUUAACAAGGGUUCCCUUCGCUACCCUGCUCGACUCAGAAUCACACUUAAAAAUGGAUCUUUGGAAUCGUUUCGCUCGACUGCUGAAGCACAAAGGUUUUUUUAAUCCGAAGGUUAGCUGUUUAGUUUGUCCUUACAUGAAGACACAAGAUUAAAUAAGAAACUUCUAAUUCACAAAUGCCGUUGUAGGGGCAACUUUGUUGUCUGAUAAUGAUUUUUUAAAAUUUCUAAAGAGGCAUAUUAUUUUGUUUUUUGAAGAGAAUAAAAAAGGAAGAAAAUUCUAAUCUGAUUGUAUGGGAUACUCCCAACGCCUAUAUUAGAGGACAAAUAAUUUCUCCUACUGCGAGUGUUAAGAAUAAAGCUAAUAAAGAAAGAAUUGAAUUAGCCAACCAAUUGAAACAAUUAGAUCAAGAAUAUGCUAUAGUUCCAGAUCCUGUUUUAUAUAAAAGACGUGCUGAAGUUUAAACUAAAUAUGAUUUUUUGUUAACAUAUCCAAUUUAAACUCAACUUCUUAAAGAUAGAACUCAAAUUUACAAUCACGGAGAUAAAUCAGGCAAAGUAUUAGUCAACCAACUAAAAGCUUCUGUAGUUAAACGACAAAUUAAAGAAAUUUACAAACCUAAUGGUGAUAGGACAACUGAUCACUCUGAAAUAAAUGAUACCUUUAAAGAAUGCUAUUCUAAACUUUAUAGUUCUGAUUACCCUAAAGAUAAUACUGUAAUGAAUAAUUUUCUAGAUCAAUUAAAUAUCCCUGUACUUUUUGCAGAUAAUUGUAAACAUAUGGAUCAACCCAUUUCUUAUGAGGAAAUUGCCGAGGCUAUACAUUCAUUACACUCGGGGAAGGCUCCGGGUCCAGAUUGAUUUUCUGGAGAAUUUUAUAAGGCUUUUUCUUCAUUAAUUAUACCGCAGUUAGUCUUACUCGUUUUGGAUUCUUUCAAAUUGGGUAGCUUGCCUCAAUCUUUCUAUGAAGCCUCUAUUUUUCUUAUCCUAAAGAAGAACAAGGACCCAACUGAAUGCUCUUCAUACAGGCCAAUUUCAUUACUCAAUGUUCAUACUAAAAUCCUUUCUAAAGUUCUGACUCGUAGGAUUGAAAACAUUCAACCUUCUAUUAUUUCUGAUGAUCAGACUGGAUUUAUUAAAAACCGACAUUCUGAUUUUAACAUACUCCAUGUAUUGAAUGUUACUUACUCUCCCUCCCAGGAGAUAUAGGUUAAGUGUGAUAUUCUUAGAUGCUGAGAAGGCCUUUGAUUGGGUUGAAUGGAAUUAUUUAUUUACAAACUUAGAAAAUUUUAAUUUUGGACCAGAUUUUAUUCAAUGGAUUCAAUUACUUUAUCUAUCUCCUUCUGCUCGGAUUCUUACUAGCUUUCAAAAUUCCAAACCAUUUAAACUUCAUUGCAGAACUAGACAAGGCUGUCCAUUGAGCCCUUUGCUCUUUGAUUUAAGUUUAGAACCCCUUGCCAUUGCUUUUCGAGAAUCUAAUGAUAUCUGCGGUAUUUUAAGGAGAGGUAUUACUCACAAAAUUUCACUUUAUGCUGAUGAUAUAUUGUGUUUAUCUCCAAUGCCGAGACGUCGUUACCUUUCCUACUUUCUUUACUCACCCGUUUUAGCCAGUUUUCAGGGUAUAAGUUGAACCUACGUAGGAGUGAACUAUUUCCUUUCAAUAAUUUGAUAUCAAUUAAUACUAAUCUCUCUUUUAAAGUUGUAAGGAAGCAUUUGCAGAAUUUUCUUUGCUUGCUGCUAGGAGCCCCUGUUUUUGGAACAUUCGGCUUAGUAUGUAUCAAAGGUGUUAACAAGUUUCUUCUGCAGAAGUUAUGUUUGUCAGAGGUGUUAACUCCUUACUUCUGCAGAUCAAUGUUCCUAGGAGAACUGCAACAUAAAUAGCUUAAUUGUUAACCGCAGACUAGACAUGACAUGCGAUGUUAUCACUUUCUUGUACGUCAGACUGUUUCAUCUUUCAGGAUAAAAGGUCAACAUGUUUACGCAUCGGGUCAACCCUCACGGUGGAGAGACUGACUCUCCGUGAUCAUCACGACAAUAAAGGUUCUCGCUGCGAACUGAGCCCAGAGAGUCUCUGUCUUUUAUUGUAAGUAAAGUGUUAAAACUCUGCUACAAC